ACCAUUGUCGUCCAGCGGUUUAGGAUGCCAGGCUUUCAAAUAAUAUGCGAACGUUGAAUCCCCGGGAGACCGGGGUUCGAACCCCCGCAAUGGUA